AGUCGUUACUUUGUGUAUGUAGGCUCAAGUACAAACUAAUUUGUAUGUAAUGGUGCUUUGUUUAUAUUCUUUUCUAUAAUACAGUGGAGGAUUUUCUUCAUUUCAAAAACCACUUUACCAUGCAGAAGCCAUGGCUGAUGCUCUUUUUGAUCUGGGUGGAGAUGAGAAACUUAUGAGGUCUUAGUUCGCCACAAGCAAACUGCAUCCAGAACCAAAACAUGACAAGAAGCAGUGCGCCCCUGCAGACGCAUCGUGCGCAAAGUUGGCGAACCAUACAUCCCCUCAGGCCGGAAAAGGAGAGAAAUGAUAAGAGGCUUCUUUAAAUUACAGACUGCAGUCUCAUCUAAAUAGAGUUCAACCAGAGGCUGAGGGAAACGAGGUCAUCCAUAAAAGCAACGCAAUUAAAGCUGGAGCCUGCAUUCCUCAUGACAAAAUUCUGCAAGAAUAAAGUCAGAUUAUUACUCGCAAUCGAGAGCCUUGCAGCAGGAGACCUUUCAUCUUGAGGUUUUUAUAAAGACGCUUCGAGUAGGUACAGCAGAUUUGUGUUAUUGUGUUUGGUAAUAUCGCGGUGUACUGUGAAGCUCAGGGAUUUGAAAACAUUACUUGGAAUCAGAAAUGACCUUUUUAAUCACAAACAUAAAUUGCGUGAGACAAAUAAUUAUAUUAGUUCAUAUUUAUUUUAUCUACAUAUCAAAUAAAAAUGUGAGAUUUUCUCAAGGAUACAUUAA